AACGAACGCUGGCGGCAGGCUUAACACAUGCAAGUCGAACGAUCCCUUCGGGGAUAGUGGCGGACGGGUGAGUAACACGUGGGAACGUGCCUUUUGGUUCGGAACAACACAGGGAAACUUGUGCUAAUACCGGAUAAGCCCUUCGGGGGAAGGAUUUAUCGCCAUUAGAGCGGCCCGCCGUCUGAUUAGCUAGUUGGUGAGGUAAAGGCUCACCAAGGCUACGAUCAGUAGCUGGUCUGAGAGGAUGAUCAGCCACACUGGGACGUGAGACACGGCCCAGACUCCUACGGGAGGCAGCAGUGGGGAAGUCUUGCGCAAUGGGGGAAACCCGUGACGCAGCCAUGCCGCGUGAAUGAUGAAGGUC
rnacentral:rRNA from 1 species